GAGAAGGAAACCGGUUCAGAGAAGGAAACCUGUUCAGAGAAGGAAACCUGUUCAGAGAAGGAAACCUGUUCAGAGAAGGAAACCUGUUCAGAGAAGGAAACCAUUCAGAGAAGGAAACCUGUUCAGAGAAGGAAACCUGUUCAGAGAAGGAAACCGGUUCAGAGAAGGAAACCGUUCAGAGAAGGAAACCUGUUCAGAGAAGGAAACCGUUCAGAGAAGGAAACCGGUUCAGAGAAGGAAACCUGUUCAGAGAAGGAAACCUGUUCAGAGAAGGAAACCGGUUCAGAGAAGGAAACCUGUUCAGAGAAGGAAACCUGUUCAGAGAAGGAAACCGUUCAGAGAAGGAAACCGUUCAGAGAAGGAAACCUGUUCAGAGAAGGAAACCUGUUCAGAGAAGGAAACCGUUCAGAGAAGGAAACCGGUUCAGAGAAGGAAACUGGUUCAGAGAAGGAAACCGUUCAGAGAAGGAAACCGGUUCAGAGAAGGAAACCUGUUCAGAGAAGGAAACCGUUCAGAGAAGGAAACCGUUCAGAGAAGGAAACCUGUUCAGAGAAGGAAACCGUUCAGAGAAGGAAACCCCGUUCAGAGAAGGAAACCGUUCACCAGGCACCAUAGUAUUCUUUUUUAACUCUAUUUAUUAACAUUUGAUCGUCCAAAAAAUAAGCAAUAGGAAUUUUAAAACCAACAGUUUACAAAGUACUUUUGAACUCUAUGGACAUUUGGCGUUCUGAAACAAUGGACAGUAGGUAGGUGUGGACCUGCCUAUUCAUUCAUAUACAGUAGGUGUGGACCUGCCUAUUCAUUCAUAUACAGUAGGUGUGGACCUGCCUAUUCAUUCAUAUACAGUAGGUGUGGACCUGCCUAUUCAUUCAUAUACAGUAGGUGUGGACCUGCCUAUUCAUUCAUAUACAGUAGGUGUGGACCUGCCUAUUCAUUCAUAUACAGUAGGUGUGGACCUGCCUAUUCAUUCAUAUACAGUAGGUGUGGACCUGCCUAUUCAUUCAUAUACAGUAGGUGUAGACCUGCCUAUUCAUUCAUAUACAGUAGGUGUAGACCUGCCUAUUCAUUCAUAUACAGUAGGCAAGGACCUGCCUAUUCAUUCAUAUACAGUAGGUAAUGACCAGCCUAUUCAUUCAUAUACAGUAGGUGAGGACCUGCCUAUUCAUUCAUAUACAGUAGGUAUCUGAUUAUAGAAAUAAACGCAUCUCCAUUUUAAGCAUCCACGUGACAGGCCCAUGUGAUCAACGGCUAAUUGCGCAUCACAUUUGCGACAUUGGUCAUGCAUGCACAGUGGGGGGAACUAAAUUAGUGGUCAUAAUUCUACCGAGCCUACUUUGUUGAAAAAUAAUCCCCCAGGCCCUCAGUUGGGUACAGCAGGUACAUCAGACGCCAUACCCUAGCUCAAGACCAAACAUUUAAAAAGUCGGCUAUAAAAAAAAAAGUUGUUUAAAAUCAUUCCAAUCCUGAUUAAAAUACAACGUCCUGCUUAGCGUAUUGACCAGUCUGGCUUUAGGACCAUGCGGAGCGUCGCUCGGAGAGAAGCUGCCAGUCUGCGUGUCGUUCUCUCACUAAGAGAGCAGAGACAAGUGCCAGACAGUUUGCUUCUGCCGGUCAGUCGUUUAGGCAGUGCGCCGAUUGCUUUGAAUUUGACGUGGGCAUUUAAACUCGUCCUUGUAGGCCUCACUGACAGCUGGUUUAUACACCGGCUCCGUUUCACAUUGACGUCAGCGUCGGAAACGUGUCCCAAUUUGGCUAGCGGAAGAUGUUACUUCAGGGGAAGCUUAUUUUAAUUUGUAAAAAUUAGCAAUAAUUACUGGUGCCUAUACAAAAAUAGAUUCAGAGAGCAUGAUUUGACCACAGAGGAUCAUUAGCUUUUUUAAAAAUGAGUUUUGGAUUGUUUUAAGCUGCCAUUUGGGCAGUACACAACGAAUAGCCUUGCAAACAGCUGAUUGUUUCGUUGCAGUGGUCAGUGAAAAGCUGUUUAAAAAAUAGUCCUAGGGCUGUCAGAAUAUUUCAAAAAUACAAAUUGUAGAAAAAAAAACAAUUUAGAAAGAAAAAUGGCUACUGCUGAAAAGAGAUCACAAAUAAAAGACUAUCUGUCUCCAUUCAUCAACUCCUAAUUGAGCGAACAGUAGGCCAUCGUAUUGGUACCGGCGGAGUGCACACAUACCCACGGUCUGUCAUCCGAUCAGUAUCACUGGAACGGCGGCUUUUGGACAAUAAUUCCUACCUCCGGGCUACAUGCACAUCAUAUUUCACCAUUUGUAUCAUAUUUCACCACUUGAACCUCUCCUUUUCGGACUAGAUUAGAUGGGGCUGCAUUCAAAGAAAAACGAUUGUUUUUACAGAUGUUUCCCAUGCAGAGAAAGGAGAAGAAACAUCUCUGAUAAAGCCUACUCUAUGUCACUACUAUCUCUGUCACUACUAUCCCUGUCACCACUAUCUCUGUCACUACUAUCUCUGUCACUGCUAUCUCUGUCACUGCUAUCUCUGUCACUACUAUCACUACUAUCUCUGUCACUACUAUCUCUGUCACUACUAUCUCUGUCACUGCUAUCUCUGUCACUACUAUCUCUGUCACUACUAUCUCUGUCACUGCUAUCUCUGUCACUGCUAUCUCUGUCACUACUAUCUCUGUCACUACUAUCACUGUCACUACUGGCUCAGACAUGCAUUGUUCAGAACUGUCCGUUUUGCUAAUAUUUAGCCUAAAUUAUGACUAUGCAAUCUACUCAUCACAUUAGGACUAGUGGCCUAUUUUACAUUAGUCUUCAAAUGGGAUGAUAGAUGCCCGCAAUAACCUCUGUUAUAAAAAGGAUGACAUUUGAUGUUGAACAAAUAGUUUGAAAGUCAGGCAUCACCUAUGGAUGAGGUCAUCAGAGGUCGUCCUUGUUGUGACUUGAUAGCGUCUAUUAUGCAUCUUGUUGCACUGUGUACGCCCGUUCCACCAUGUAAAUGAGUACAUUUAUGAUGAGUUUGAGUAGGGGUUGACAUUGUCUAUGCGGUUCCACAGACCAGUAGCCUAGGAGUAGCCUACAGUAGCCUAGGAGUAGCCUACAGUAGCCUAGGAGUAGCCUACAGUAGCCUAGGAGUAGCCUACAGUAGCCUAGGAGUAGCCUACAGUAGCCUAGGGCUAGCCUACAGUAGCCUAGGAGUAGCCUACAGUAGCCUAGGAGUAGCCUAGCAGUAGC